AAGUCGUAACAAGGUUUCCGUAGGUGAACCUGCGGAAGGAUCAUUAUCGAGUUUGAAGUGGGUCUUUGAGCUGGUCUUAUUCAGGCAUCGUGCUCGGGCCCCGCUCCAAUCCACUCAACCCCUGUGCACUUUCGGAGUCGCGGGUCACACCGUGAUUUCGUCUCUUAUCACAAACCAAAUGUAUUUGAUGUCAUGUAGAACGUGGAUGCCUUUGAUAGGCGGAAACUCAUUACAACUUUCAACAACGGAUCUCUUGGCUCUC
rnacentral:misc_RNA from 1 species